UGACAGCAACCUGUUCUGUUAUAAUAUAUAUCUAUACCCCCUCCCCCGCCCACAAAAAAAAACUCUAAAAAGAUCAUAAUAUUUUUUGUUACUAGAAUUCCACAAAUUAAUGAGGUUCUUCAAAUUAUGCUUAUAUCUUCUGUUGAUCAAUAGUACUAUUUACUUCCGGUUGGUUUCAGGCCAGAAUGGAACAAGUGCGACUACAGACUCGGAUAAUCAAAUUGUAGUUGAUAUUGGUUUGAUUCUUGAUUUUGGUUCAUCUACUGGUAUUACUGCCAUUUCUUGCGUAUCCAUGGCUUUCUCCGAUUUCUACUCUGCAAAUCCUCAUUACUCUACAAGGCUGGCUUUACACCGCAGGAAUUCUGAUGAUAUUAUUUCUGCAGCUUCAUCAGCUUCGGAGCUGGUUAAUGAGGUACAAGUGGAUGCAAUCAUUGGGCCACAGAACUCCAAACAAGCUGGCCUUGUCGAAGAAAUUGGAGGGAAAUCUCAGGUGCCAAUCAUCUCGUUUGAUAGAACGACAGUGCCUGAUUCAUCUGAACUGGAAGGUAUUGCUUCCCUUGUCAAGGUACUCGGAUGGCAUGACCUUGUAGUGCUUUAUCAAGACGACGCAGAAGAAGAAUUUGGGCCUAAUUUCAUAUCCUCUCUUACCCGUACAUUACAGCAAGAGAGUAUUCAUCUUUCAUAUGUGAGCGCAAUCUCAGCUUCUUCCAGUGUACCGGACAUCAGGAAAGAGCUGCGCCACUUGAGGAGUAUGCAAACUCGGGUAUUUCUUGUUCAUGUGACUUCUCAUGACCUUGCUUCUCGCCUCUUUUCUCUUGCGCGUGAGGUAGGAAUGAUGAGCAAAGGAACGGCUUGGAUCAUCACUGAUGCUUUAUCCAAUUCAAUAAGUUCCUUGAACGCUGCAACUAUUGAGUCGAUGGAAGGCGUUUUAGGCAUGAGGCCUUACAUACCCAGGUCAAAAAACCUGGACAACUUCAGAAUCAAAUGGAAUUUGAUGCAGAAAAAAUAUCACCAUACUGAAAAAGUUGGUACCGAUUUUUAUACGUGUUUGCAGGCAUACGACACAGUUUGGGCAUUCGCCACAGCAGCGGAGAAGAUCCAGGUCCAACAAGUACAGAGGAGCAGUGAAAAAUUAAAUGCACCAAGCCCUGCCAUCACACAGAUCAGAAUCUCAGAGACAGGACCAAGACUUCAUGAUGAAAUCUUGAAAACCAGGUUUCUAGGCCUAAGCGGAAAAUUCAAGUUGGAGCACGGGAAAUUAGAAACUCCGGCUUUUGAAGUAAUCAACAUGAUUGGAAACGGCUAUAGAACUGUUGGAUAUUGGACGCAGAAGAGAGGCUUCAGCCGUAAAAUAGCAAGUGCUGCUGAGGAAGAUCAUCAAGGAGUAGUUCAUCCAAAUUAUGGUGAAAAUGUUCUCAAACCUAUCAUUUGGCCUGGAGAUUCCACACAGAAGCCUAAAGGCUGGGAUAUACCAGCAAUGCCCCUGCAGCUAAGAUGGCGGCACUAAGGGAACAUCUGCUCAGAUUGAUCGGAAAUUACUGGAUGCAGAGUUUAAGCAUGGAGGCCUACGAUGAGGAACUUUCUCUCGGAUGCAAAAAUGGAGAUUCUGACACUACUCUUUACGAGAUCCCUGCAUGAGCCUAUUACUUUAUCAAUUCAGUAAACUCCCUUCUUCGAUUAGACUGGAAUGAGGAAGUUGCUUGAAAGAGAUUACUACGAGCCUCGUGACACAGAAGAAGAGACAUCACACAGAAGGUGAAAGUAGACGUUCGGUACUAACAUUUACAGUAAUGGAGUUGUCGUGCAGUAACCACAUUUCAUUGGCAAUAUUACGCGUGCAAUUGAGGAGCAGAGUUUUAACAGACUGAGAAGGGAGCCUCGCAAAGUAUGUCAUGCCUAAGAUACAUCCCCUGAUAGUCGAAGUUUAACUCACUGGCUCUAAUUCCCCUUCAAAUGACCAUCAAGUUCAUCGAAACAGGCCUGCAGAGGAGGAUAUUUUAGGCGAAGAAGAAAGUGUAAAACAAGUAGUAUGACGAGAAUUUAGCAGUACUGGUAUUGAUCCUGGUGAAUUGGUGAUCACAGGAUGAUCAAGUUAGUGUAUAUGCACACAACUGGUGGGUAUUUUUUUUUUUGAAAGUAACUAGUGGGUAUUUGAUUAUUAAUCUGUCCCCCAUGUCUAUAUUGUGUAAUGGGUCCGGAUCUCUGACAUAAGAUUGUUAGUUGUACGUUUAACUUAACCCUAAGUUUCCAGGAGAUGCUACAGCAUCAUUUAGCGAAAAAUUAUCUCAAGAUUUUUCACGUCCAGCACUUUUUUCCCGCGAAUGGAUGCUACUAUCAUUCGUUCUUCGUAUGUUCCGACCAACUGCCUUGUGUAAUAUACAUAAAUGAGAUGGCAGAUGUGAAGCUGAGUGUUGA